AAUGGGGACGCCGAAAACCAUACAGAGUAGGCA
ncrna:unclassified sequences DTF805b RNA